AACGAACGUUAGCGGCGCGCCUAACACAUGCAAGUCGCGCGAGAAAGGGCUUCGGCCCCAGUAAAGCGGCGCACGGGUGAGUAACACGUAGGUCAUCUUCCCUCGAGUGGUGGAUAACUCUCCGAAAGGAGAGCUAAUACAGCAUAAGACCACGGCUUCGCCGAAGUUGUGGCCAAAGCAGACCUCUUCACGAAAGUUUGCGCUUGAGGAUGAGCCUGCGGCCCANCAGCUAGUUGGUAGGGUAACGGCCUACCAAGGCUAAGACGGGUAGCUGGUCUGAGAGGAUGAACAGCCACACUGGAACUGAGACACGGUCCAGACUCCUACGGGAGGCAGCAGUGGGGAAUCUUGCGCAAUGGGCGAAAGCCUGACGCAGCGACGCCGCGUGAGCGAUGAAGGCC
rnacentral:rRNA from 1 species